rnacentral:rRNA from 1 species
UUAAGCGACUAAGCGUACACGGUGGAUGCCCUGGCAGUCAGAGGCGAUGAAGGACGUGCUAAUCUGCGAUAAGCGUCGGUGAGGUGAUAUGAACCGUUAUAACCGGCGAUUUCCGAAUGGGGAAACCCAGUGUGUUUCGACACACUAUCAUUAACUGAAUCCAUAGGUUAAUGAGGCGAACCGGGGGAACUGAAACAUCUAAGUACCCCGAGGAAAAGAAAUCAACCGAGAUUCCCCCAGUAGCGGCGAGCGAACGGGGAGGAGCCCAGAGCCUGAAUCAGUGUGUGUGUUAGUGGAAGCGUCUGGAAAGGCGUGCGAUACAGGGUGACAGCCCCGUACACAAAAAUGCACAUAUUGUGAGCUCGAUGAGUAGGGCGGGACACGUGGUAUCCUGUCUGAAUAUGGGGGGACCAUCCUCCAAGGCUAAAUACUCCUGACUGACCGAUAGUGAACCAGUACCGUGAGGGAAAGGCGAAAAGAACCCCGGCGAGGGGAGUGAAAAAGAACCUGAAACCGUGUACGUACAAGCAGUGGGAGCCUCUUAAUGGGGUGACUGCGUACCUUUUGUAUAAUGGGUCAGCGACUUAUAUUCUGUAGCAAGGUUAACCGAAUAGGGGAGCCGAAGGGAAACCGAGUCUUAACUGGGCGUUAAGUUGCAGGGUAUAGACCCGAAACCCGGUGAUCUAGCCAUGGGCAGGUUGAAGGUUGGGUAACACUAACUGGAGGACCGAACCGACUAAUGUUGAAAAAUUAGCGGAUGACUUGUGGCUGGGGGUGAAAGGCCAAUCAAACCGGGAGAUAGCUGGUUCUCCCCGAAAGCUAUUUAGGUAGCGCCUCGUGAAUUCAUCUCCGGGGGUAGAGCACUGUUUCGGCAAGGGGGUCAUCCCGACUUACCAACCCGAUGCAAACUGCGAAUACCGGAGAAUGUUAUCACGGGAGACACACGGCGGGUGCUAACGUCCGUCGUGAAGAGGGAAACAACCCAGACCGCCAGCUAAGGUCCCAAAGUCAUGGUUAAGUGGGAAACGAUGUGGGAAGGCCCAGACAGCCAGGAUGUUGGCUUAGAAGCAGCCAUCAUUUAAAGAAAGCGUAAUAGCUCACUGGUCGAGUCGGCCUGCGCGGAAGAUGUAACGGGGCUAAACCAUGCACCGAAGCUGCGGCAGCGACACUAUGUGUUGUUGGGUAGGGGAGCGUUCUGUAAGCCUGUGAAGGUGGCCUGUGAGGGUUGCUGGAGGUAUCAGAAGUGCGAAUGCUGACAUAAGUAACGAUAAAGCGGGUGAAAAGCCCGCUCGCCGGAAGACCAAGGGUUCCUGUCCAACGUUAAUCGGGGCAGGGUGAGUCGACCCCUAAGGCGAGGCCGAAAGGCGUAGUCGAUGGGAAACAGGUUAAUAUUCCUGUACUUGGUGUUACUGCGAAGGGGGGACGGAGAAGGCUAUGUUGGCCGGGCGACGGUUGUCCCGGUUUAAGCGUGUAGGCUGGUUUUCCAGGCAAAUCCGGAAAACCAAGGCUGAGGCGUGAUGACGAGGCACUACGGUGCUGAAGCGACAAAUGCCCUGCUUCCAGGAAAAGCCUCUAAGCAUCAGGUAACAUCAAAUCGUACCCCAAACCGACACAGGUGGUCAGGUAGAGAAUACCAAGGCGCUUGAGAGAACUCGGGUGAAGGAACUAGGCAAAAUGGUGCCGUAACUUCGGGAGAAGGCACGCUGAUAUGUAGGUGAAGCGACUUGCUCGUGGAGCUGAAAUCAGUCGAAGAUACCAGCUGGCUGCAACUGUUUAUUAAAAACACAGCACUGUGCAAACACGAAAGUGGACGUAUACGGUGUGACGCCUGCCCGGUGCCGGAAGGUUAAUUGAUGGGGUUAGCGGUAACGCGAAGCUCUUGAUCGAAGCCCCGGUAAACGGCGGCCGUAACUAUAACGGUCCUAAGGUAGCGAAAUUCCUUGUCGGGUAAGUUCCGACCUGCACGAAUGGCGUAAUGAUGGCCAGGCUGUCUCCACCCGAGACUCAGUGAAAUUGAACUCGCUGUGAAGAUGCAGUGUACCCGCGGCAAGACGGAAAGACCCCGUGAACCUUUACUAUAGCUUGACACUGAACAUUGAGCCUUGAUGUGUAGGAUAGGUGGGAGGCUUUGAAGUGUGGACGCCAGUCUGCAUGGAGCCGACCUUGAAAUACCACCCUUUAAUGUUUGAUGUUCUAACGUUGGCCCGUAAUCCGGGUUGCGGACAGUGUCUGGUGGGUAGUUUGACUGGGGCGGUCUCCUCCUAAAGAGUAACGGAGGAGCACGAAGGUUGGCUAAUCCUGGUCGGACAUCAGGAGGUUAGUGCAAUGGCAUAAGCCAGCUUGACUGCGAGCGUGACGGCGCGAGCAGGUGCGAAAGCAGGUCAUAGUGAUCCGGUGGUUCUGAAUGGAAGGGCCAUCGCUCAACGGAUAAAAGGUACUCCGGGGAUAACAGGCUGAUACCGCCCAAGAGUUCAUAUCGACGGCGGUGUUUGGCACCUCGAUGUCGGCUCAUCACAUCCUGGGGCUGAAGUAGGUCCCAAGGGUAUGGCUGUUCGCCAUUUAAAGUGGUACGCGAGCUGGGUUAGAACGUCGUGAGACAGUUCGGUCCCUAUCUGCCGUGGGCGCUGGAGAACUGAGGGGGGCUGCUCCUAGUACGAGAGGACCGGAGUGGACGCAUCACUGGUGUUCGGGUUGUCAUGCCAAUGGCACUGCCCGGUAGCUAAAUGCGGAAGAGAUAAGUGCUGAAAGCAUCUAAGCACGAAACUUGCCCCGAGAUGAGUUCUCCCUGACUCCUUGAGGGUCCUGAAGGAACGUUGAAGACGACGACGUUGAUAGGCCGGGUGUGUAAGCGCAGCGAUGCGUUGAGCUAACCGGUACUAAUGAACCGUGAGGCUUAACCUU